rnacentral:rRNA from 1 species
GAUGAACGCUGGCGGCGUGCCUAAUACAUGCAAGUUGAGCGAUCGGACGAGGUGCUUGUACCAACGAUGUUAGCGGCGGACGGGUGAGUAACACGUGGGUAAUCUACCUUUAGGACGGGGACAACUUCGGGAAACGGGUGCUAAUACCUCAUAAUAUCUUGAAACACAUGGUUUAAGAUUGAAAGACGCUAUUGCAUCACUCAAUGAUUAUCUCGCGUUGUCUUAACCUGUUGGUUAAGUAAAGGCUCAACCAGGCGAUGAUAGAUAGGCGGACUGAGAGGGGGAAUCGCCACCUCGGGAACGAGAAAAGGCCCCAGAUCCUACGGGAGGGCGCAGUAGGGAAACCUUCGCAAUGGACGGAAGUCUGAACGGGGAAACGCCGCGUGAGGGAGAAAGUUCUUGGAAUCGUAAAACUCGUUUAUUGAGAAGGAACAUAGUGAUAGUCGACUGUUCACAACUUGACGGUACCUAAUCAGAAAGGCACGGCUAACUACGUG